CCUACGGGUGGCACCAGUGGGGAAUAUUGCACAAUGGGCGCAAGCCUGAUGCAGCCAUGCCGCGUGUGUGAAGAAGGCCUUCGGGUUGUAAAGUACUUUCAGCGGGGAGGAAGGUGUUGUGGUUAAUAACCGCAGCAAUUGACGUUACCCGCAGAAGAAGCACCGGCUAACUCCGUGCCAGCAGCCGCGGUAAUACGGAGGGUGCAAGCGUUAAUCGGAAUUACUGGGCGUAAAGCGCACGCAGGCGGUCUGUCAAGUCGGAUGUGAAAUCCCCGGGCUCAACCUGGGAACUGCACUCGAAACUGGCAGGCUAGAGUCUUGUAGAGGGGGGUAGAAUUCCAGGUGUAGCGGUGAAAUGGGUAGAGAUCUGGAGGAAUACCGGUGGCGAAGGCGGCCCCCUGGACAAAGGCUGACGCUCAGGUGCGAAAGCGUGGGGAGCAAACAGGAUUAGAUACCCUUGUAGUC
rnacentral:rRNA from 1 species